UUGAACGCUGGCGGCAGGCCUAACACAUGCAAGUCGAGCGGUAACACAGAGAGCUUGCUCUCGGGUGACGAGCGGCGGACGGGUGAGUAAUGUCUGGGAAACUGCCUGAUGGAGGGGGAUAACUACUGGAAACGGUAGCUAAUACCGCAUAACGUCGCAAGACCAAAGUGGGGGACCUUCGGGCCUCAUGCCAUCAGAUGUGCCCAGAUGGGAUUAGCUAGUAGGUGGGGUAACGGCUCACCUAGGCGACGAUCCCUAGCUGGUCUGAGAGGAUGACCAGCCACACUGGAACUGAGACACGGUCCAGACUCCUACGGGAGGCAGCAGUAGGGAAUAUUGCACAAUGGGCGCAAGCCUGAUGCAGCCAUGCCGCGUGUGUGAAGAAGGCCUUCGGGUUGUAAAGCACUUUCAGCGGGGAGGAAGGCGGUGAGGUUAAUAACCUCAUCGAUUGACGUUACCCGCAGAAGAAGCACCGGCUAACUCCGUGCCAGCAGCCGCGGUAAUACGGAGGGUGCAAGCGUUAAUCGGAAUUACUGGGCGUAAAGCGCACGCAGGCGGUCUGUCAAGUCGGAUGUGAAAUCCCCGGGCUCAACCUGGGAACUGCAUUCGAAACUGGCAGGCUAGAGUCUUGUAGAGGGGGGUAGAAUUCCAGGUGUAGCGGUGAAAUGCGUAGAGAUCUGGAGGAAUACCGGUGGCGAAGGCGGCCCCCUGGACAAAGACUGACGCUCAGGUGCGAAAGCGUGGGGAGCAAACAGGAUUAGAUACCCUGGUAGUCCACGCCGUAAACGAUGUCGAUUUGGAGGUUGUGCCCUUGAGGCGUGGCUUCCGGAGCUAACGCGUUAAAUCGACCGCCUGGGGAGUACGGCCGCAAGGUUAAAACUCAAAUGAAUUGACGGGGGCCCGCACAAGCGGUGGAGCAUGUGGUUUAAUUCGAUGCAACGCGAAGAACCUUACCUGGUCUUGACAUCCACAGAACUUUCCAGAGAUGGAUUGGUGCCUUCGGGAACUGUGAGACAGGUGCUGCAUGGCUGUCGUCAGCUCGUGUUGUGAAAUGUUGGGUUAAGUCCCGCAACGAGCGCAACCCUUAUCCUUUGUUGCCAGCGGUUCGGCCGGGAACUCAAAGGAGACUGCCAGUGAUAAACUGGAGGAAGGUGGGGAUGACGUCAAGUCAUCAUGGCCCUUACGACCAGGGCUACACACGUGCUACAAUGGCAUAUACAAAGAGAAGCGACCUCGCGAGAGCAAGCGGACCUCAUAAAGUAUGUCGUAGUCCGGAUUGGAGUCUGCAACUCGACUCCAUGAAGUCGGAAUCGCUAGUAAUCGUAGAUCAGAAUGCUACGGUGAAUACGUUCCCGGGCCUUGUACACACCGCCCGUCACACCAUGGGAGUGGGUUGCAAAAGAAGUAGGUAGCUUAACCUUCGGGAGGGCGCUUACCACUUUGUGAUUCAUGACUGGGGUG
rnacentral:rRNA from 1 species